GAUGAACGCUGGCGGCGUGCCUAAUACAUGCAAGUCGAGCGAACGGACGAGAAGCUUGCUUCUCUGAUGUUAGCGGCGGACGGGUGAGUAACACGUGGAUAACCUACCUAUAAGACUGGGAUAACUUCGGGAAACCGGAGCUAAUACCGGAUAAUAUUUUGAACCGCAUGGUUCAAAAGUGAAAGACGGUCUUGCUGUCACUUAUAGAUGGAUCCGCGCUGCAUUAGCUAGUUGGUAAGGUAACGGCUUACCAAGGCAACGAUGCAUAGCCGACCUGAGAGGGGGAUCGGCCACACUGGAACUGAGACACGGUCCAGACGCCUACGGGAGGCAGCAGUAGGGAAUCUUCCGCAAUGGGCGAAAGCCUGACGGAGCAACGCCGCGUGAGUGAUGAAGGUCUUCGGUCGUAAAACUCUGUUAUUAGGGAAGAACAUAUGUGUAAGUAACUGUGCACAUCUUGACGGUACCUAAUCAGAAAGCCACGGCUAACUACGUG
rnacentral:rRNA from 1 species